GGUUUAUAAAGCGUCAGGUGAAGAAAACUAAAUAUAUUUUUUUGCUUCAACAUCUCUACUAUUUCAUCCAUCUGCUUUAUUUCAGAACAGCAACUCUCUGUGCCAAACCCUGGAAAUUCCUGGAAGAAGUCAAUGUUAUGUCUUGUGGGAAACAGACACAUAACAGCAUCCUGAAGAUUCUGGAAAACCUCAAGAACACUGAGUCAAAAGAAGAACGAUUAGGGCGCUUGAAAAAGAGGGGGAAAGACCUUCGUUGAAGCAUAACGGAAACCACUACAUAUCCUGCUAUCAACAAAAUACUUGUCAGAACACAGCACACCACUUUGCAAUGUGCCAUCAAUGUUUUAGUAGCUCCCUUCUGACAGCCAUGAGAAGCCAAUGAAAAAUUGAUGGGACAAUAUGGUCUGUAAGUAUGCAUAAUUAAAUGAUUCUAUUCUAUGAAUUUCCCAUUAGUUACCAAACAUGUGUCAACUUCAAUAGAUGGAACAAGUGACUAAUAGCCAUAAUAAACUGCUAGAUUUGGAUAAAUUUGAAAAAUCU
rnacentral:lncRNA from 1 species